GCUGGGUGCAGUGGCACACACCUGUAAUCCUAAUGGCUUGGGAGGCUGAGGCAGGAGGAUCACAAAUUCAAAGCCAGCUUCAGCAAUUUAUCGAGGCUCUAAGCAAUUUAGUGAGACCCUGUCUCAA
rnacentral:sRNA from 1 species